GUGGGUGAAUACCCACUUCCUCAGAUGCAUGUCUACACUCCCCCCGCCCCAGGGGAUGCUGGGACAUGCCGGCCAUUUCUGGGAGUGACACGGAGGGACGGAGGCAGAGUGGGCAGGGAGCCAUCUU